CGCCUCCUCUCCUCCUGAUUCGCAUCCUCCCCCAAUCCCCGCCUCCUCUCCUCCUCCCCAAUCUGACGCCUCUCGCCGCCCUCUCUCCUUCCCCUGCGCCUUCGACCCCACCCUCGCCAGCUCCCAAGGAUCCGCCGAGUGGGGAACCAAGAAGGAGGAGGGACGUGAAGGGGAGAAGAGGGGGUGCGGCACAGGAGACCUAGGCGGCGGCUCGAGCAGAGGAGCGGGGCCUCGAGACGCCGCGUCCGCCACUCCCCCGCCUCGAACCAGCCGCCGCCAUGGAGAAGGACGGACAGUAGGGGAGGCCGGCGGUGGAGGGAGGAGCGGCGAGGACAGAGGCGCCGGCUGUCGGGGACCUCCCAGCCUUCUUCUUCUCCUCGUCAGGUGGAGCUCGAGCCGUCGAGCACGACCUCGAUCUGGAGUAGGGUAGCAGCAGCCGCAGGGGGCUCCAACCUUGUCUCCGCGGGAGGGGGCAGGCGCAGCUCCUCCUCUCCACUUCCCACGCGACAGCGGCCCCAACCCCCACCCUAACCCCACCUCCUCUAGCCCCUCUGCAAUGAAGUGUUUCAGUGCUUGGUUUAUUGGUGGGUGGUGAGAAGAAGAGAGGUGGAAGCAGGACCGCGAGGCCGGAGCUCCAGGCGUCGCUCGCAUUUAGGUGGAGUGGAGAGGUGUCGCGGGCCAUGACUGAUGGGUCGUUGCUCACUGGUCGUCGUCCCCUGUCCACCAUCCAGGUUGCACGUCCUCAUCAUAAUCUGAUUUUGAUUCCUUGAUUUUUCUGAUAAAGAGAGGAAGAAUUGGGAUACAGGUAUUAGGCCUUAGAUUCUUUGCCUCCAGCAGAAGAAAUGAUUCAUGUGUGCCUCCCUUUUUGUUAUAUCUUACAUAAUUUCUAAUCUGGGCAAAUAUCACAUAAUCGGCUUGGCAGCUAAUAUCCAAAAUUGUUAGUGUUGUCGGUACAUUGAGGUUUAUCUUAUUUUGGUAAAGGUUUUUCUAUCAAGAACUACAUAUGCUCGACAUGGUGUCAUGGUAUCUAUAGUUGUUGUGGAGCCUGCUGGUAUUCUUACCCUUCAUCGCCUCUUUCCCUUCUCUGUAUGAGCCCUUUCCUGAUUUGUUUUUGUUCGCGAUCUGCUCUGCUUGUUUUGACUCUUUUUAGUUGAUGCAUUAUUCUAUCUAUUUUUGUGUACUCAGGUGCCUAUGCGAGAAACAUUGGAAGAAUCCAUGUAUUUAGCCAUGGCAUGUUUGGCAGCUACAGCAGCUUCUGCAGCUUUCUUCCCCCGUCAUUCCUCAUAUAUGUGGGCAAUUCAAUGUUGUUACCAGUGGGAGUCCAUAGUGCGCGUGUGUCUGGUCCAGUAUGUGGUUCCAUAGGAUAAGAAAAAAGUUUGUCAAGAAUGGAUCUCUAAAUGUGUUUCGCCUUGAGUCUAUGGGGGAGUCAUGAAGAAGCCAAGCUUAAAUGAGAUUUCAAAAUUUUGUGGCCUUUGUUAACAUUUAAAAACCUGAUGCUUCUACUUGUGAAAGAACAAGUAGAGAUAAGGCCCAUCAGUUCAGGUAGAGAUAAUGAAAGAACAGAAGAAGGACUGAGCAAGAGGAGGAACUUCGUCGACCCAGCCGUGAGCAAAUGAUGCUCUGGCGAGUCGAUGAUGACCGUCAUGGAGAUCUGCCUGCGGGGCCUGACCAAGGAACCAACGCUGAAGCCGUUAGACGAGGACGUGCUCUCGAACCUGCAGUUUGCAGCCCUGGUGUAGGAUGACUGGAACAGCGAGGAGUCCCCGCUCUCAUAGUCGCAGAUCCGUGCACAAUCCGCAGAGGACUAACCUCUAGGAAGGCUGAGAAAAAAUAUUGGCAAGCAUUACCAUUAUGAUCCUCCAUCGAUCAUCAUUGUUGAAGGAAUUUCUGUUUCUCUUCAUAUAGGAUACAGAUAUGUGAUUCUCAUGUGAUCCUUUUGCUGGAAACUUGCUAAUCUUAGGGGUGUUGCUACUGGUGUAGAAACCGUUUUAUCAAAAGAACUAAAGUAGUAGCUAAUCCAAGCAUUGAAGAAUUGACCCAGAGGUUACGCUAUACUGGAACGAAGUCAGAGCAGCGCCUAAAUACUACACAAGAUAGUUUCUGAUGACCUUCAGUCUAUAUGUCUUAACCAACAGCAUCCACCUUUUGUUUUAUCAAUCGAUCCAGUAUCUUUGCCCUUUUGGCAUUGCUCUGAGCAAGAUAUGUAUAGCCUUUAGAUUUCCAUUCAUGUAUGAUAUUGCAUGUACACUUUAGACCUCAUUACUGUCUCUGUGGUCAAAAGAAGUUUGUGAUCAAUUGUUCUAUAUAUGUAAUCAACUGCCCUUCUACUAAUAUUUUCAGAAGA